rnacentral:rRNA from 1 species
AGGCACUCACCGCCUGCCACAAUCAUCGGU